ACGACCAUAGGGUGUGGAAAACAGGGCUUCCCGUCCGCUCAGCCGUACUUAAGCCACACGCCGGUGAGUUAGUAGUUGGGUGGGUGACCACCAGCGAAUCCUCACUGUUGUAUGUG
rnacentral:rRNA from 1 species